AGUGAACGCUGGCGGCGUGCUUAACACAUGCAAGUCGAACGAGAACGGUACUAGCUUGCUAGUAUGUCAGCUAAGUGGCGGACGGGUGAGUAAUGUAUAGUUAAUCUGCCCUUUAGAGGGGGAUAACCACUGGAAACGGUGAUUAAUACCCCAUACUCCUUCUACCUUAAUGGUAGUUGGGAAAUGUUUUUUCGCUAAAGGAUGAGACUAUAUGGUAUCAGGUAGUUGGUGGGGUAAGAGCCUACCAAGCCAAUGACGCCUAGCUGGUCUGAGAGGAUGAUCGGCCAGACUGGGACUGAGACACGGCCCAGACUCCUACGGGAGGCAGCAGUAGGGAAUUUUCCACAAUGGACGAAAGUCUGAUGGAGCAACGCCGCGUGCAGGAUGAAGGCUUUCGGGUCGUAAACUGCUUUUAUGAGUGAUGAAUUAAGACAGUAACUCAAGAAUAAGGGUCGGCUAACUACGUGCCAGCAGCCGCGGUCAUACGUAGGACCCAAGCGUUAUCCGGAAUUACUGGGCGUAAAGAGUUGUGUAGGCGGCUUAUUAAGCAAGGUGUGAAAUCGUAUGGCUCAACCAUAUACACAUACUUUGAACUGAUGAGCUAGAGGGCGAGAGAGGUUAUUGGAAUUUCUAGUGUAGGAGUGAAAUCCGUAGAUAUUAGAAGGAACACCGAUGGCGUAGGCAGAUAACUGACUCGCACCUGACGCUCAGACACGAAAGCGUGGGUAGCAAGCGGGAUUAGAUACCCCGGUAGUCCACGCCGUAAACUAUGGAUGCUAGCUGUUAGUCGUAUCGACCCGAUUAGUAGCGAAGCUAACGCGUUAAGCAUCCCGCCUGUGGAGUACGAGCGCAAGCUUAAAACAUAAAGGAAUUGACGGGGACCCGCACAAGCGGUGGAGCGUGUUGUUUAAUUCGAUGAUAAGCGAAGAACCUUACCCAGGUUUGACAUCCUGCGAAGGACUACGAAAGUAGACCGUGCCUUUUGGAAUGCAGUGACAGGUGAUGCAUGGCCGUCGUCAGCUCGUGUCGUGAGAUGUUUGGUUAAGUCCAUCAACGAGCGCAACCCUUAUAGUUAGUUGUAUUUUUCUAGCUAGACUGCCCUGGCAACAGGGAGGAAGGAGGGGAUGAUGUCAGGUCCGUAUCUCCCUUAUAUCUGGGGCUACAAACACGCUACAAUGGCCGGUACAAAGGGAAGCCAACCCGCGAGGGGGAGCAAAUCCCAUCAAAGCCGGUCUCAGUUCGGAUUGCAGGCUGAAACUCGCCUGCAUGAAGCUGGAAUCGCUAGUAACGGUAAGUCAGCACAUUACCGUGAAUACGUUCCCGGGUCU
rnacentral:rRNA from 1 species